UCGAACACAUCUCAUGAUUUCAUCUUAACAAUACGAGGCUCUAUUUUGAUCAUAUCUCGUAGAAACUUACGGUUAAAUUUGCUUAUAAGUAUGCCUGACUUUUGUGGGCACAUACAUUUUACAAUUCCAGCAGUUUUUCCAUGCCCCUCAAACCGGGUCUAUUUCUCAACUUUAUCCCAACUUGGAAAACUACAUGAUAUAUCAUUAACGUUACAUCUAUUCAAAGAGAACUGAAUCACGGAAGGAAAAGCGAAGUCAUCCUAAAUUAAAGAGAGCGACUGAAUACCUUAAGGUGCCCCUCCAUGUGGGUGAAGUCGUUUGUAAUCAAGUGGAAAUGAAUUCCCAAAGGCCGGAAUGAGAGAAACUGUGCAUUACUCACUCGCUCUUCAUCUGCAACACCUGCUCCAUGCUGACGAUUCCGGCUAUGCUGAAGUUUUCACUGUACUGGCUCAUCUUGAUGGACUCCAACCACUCGGCCACAGACCUGAAGGGUGAGCCGUCUGAGCCGCUGGUGCUGGGAAGCCGAAUGGAAAUUCUGACAGGGACAGAACACAAAUACUUUCAGCAAACCACACAUUUUUAAGCUCUGUGCAAGAGUGUGCAAAGUUGACAGAGCAAGACUAAGUAAGCACACUCCUACUCAUCCUGUGUGAACCAUCCCCCCCAUUCUCUACAAACAGGACCAGUCAUCCCACAUUCCAGACCAGAACCAUCUCUGACAAACUCCACGAAAGAAAACAGAACAAACGAAUAAAACCAACAUGAAGGAUGAAUACUUCAACUAACAAAAGGCCUAAAACGUUUUAAGAAAGACAAAUAUUGUUGUUGUUCAACUAUGUCUGGUGAAUAUUGUAUUUAUGCUUUGUAUUACCCAGCGUUCCCACACCUUUUGACUGGUGAAUCUAUUAUAUUCCAUGACUUUUAUUACUGGACAAGGAUUUUUAACAAUAGUUUUGUGGAAAUUGCAGUCACAAAGAGCGUCUAGCUGACAAAGUAUUUUUAAGCUGAGCCAUUAUGCACUGUUGCUACUGCUUUUUUCAUACUAUUAUGCAUAUAUGUGACCCUGUCUGUGAAAUCCAGAAUAAAGUCUCUUGGUCUAGUUUUAAGAUCUAGGAGCAUCAAAGAUCAUUGAUUUCAAUCUCUAUGAUCUUACGCAGCCAAUAUUAAAGAUAUCAAAGUUAUAUUUUUACAAAACGUAGGAUGAUUUUAUAUAGAAAAUAGUAAAUAAAAAUUACUUUAGCUGGGUUUUCACAUGCAGGGUUAAAUUUAUUAUAGUCAUAUGCAUACUCAUAUAUUUUUUCUUUCUUCUUAUAUCAAGUUACCGUAUUUUCCGGACUAUAAGUCGCUCUGGAGUAUAAGUCGCAUCAAUCAAAAACGCGUCAUAAAGACCAAAAAACAUAUAUAAGUCGCAAUGGACUACACAUCGCAUUUAUUUAGAAAAUUAUUUCACAAAAUCCAAGCCGAAGAACACACAUUUAAUCUUUAAUUGCAAGAUAUUCAACUAAACAAUAGCACACAGAACAGCAGGCUGAAUAGAUGUUUGCACGUUAACGUAACAUUAUCAGUUAUUUACACGAUAUACGUCAUUCCACAUCACUGAAUUCAUUGAAUUACAUAAAUACAGAAGCAGAAUAUAGCGGACUUUCACGGCUGUAGACGGUAAUGAUGUCUCUUGGUUUAUAUAUGUCAAAAUUCAUUCAUACUGACUUACAAGUCGCGCCUGACUAGAAGUCGCAGGACCAGCCAAACUAUGAAUAAAGUGUGACUUAUAGUCCGGAAAAUACGGUUGUAAUAAAUUAUAAAAAUAAUUCUCUUAAUUUCUUAAUCUUGUUUUUCUUCAUCUUAAAUGUUUAGAUUUAUUAAAUUUUGUAAUCUUAUUUUCUUUUUUCUCUUGUGUAUCGUGUACUGUGGGGAGAAGUCCAAAGAUUUCACUACAUGUUGUACUGUGUAUAGCUGUGGAAACGCUUUGAUUCUCUUAUAAAAAAAAACGUAUUUAUUUCCAUGCCUGAACAUUAUGGGGUGGUUUCCCGGACAGGGAUUAGACUAGUCUUAGACUAAAAUAAAAGUAAGAGCUGUCCAAACUGAAAACAACUUGCACUGACAUAUCUUAAAAUACAUCAGUGCCCUUUGUUUUGUACUGUUGUACUGUUUUUAGUAAGACAUGUUUGUUCAAACUAGUUAUAUUUCCUAAUUAAACUAAGGCCUAGUCCUGGCUUAAACUAAUCCCUGUUCGGGAAACCACCUCUAUGAUUUUGAAAGUACCACAUUUUCUAUGACUAUUAAAUAUAUGGACAUGUAUUUAGGCGUUUUAUGCUGUAAGUGUUUAAAUAUGGAUGAAUAUAUGAAAGGCAAAGAAAGAACUGAAUUUGUAAACAUACAUACAUAUAUUUAGACAAUCGGAUGUUUAAAUGUACAAACAGGAAGAAAAAGAAAAGUGUCUUCGGAAUCUGCCUACAAACAUUCCAACGUGACCAACUCAUGUCCUUCCUCUGUCCGCUUUCAAAUAUAUUCACAAUCCCUCACCACCCCGUACAAACACACAUGCACACACACUGUAUCCUGUCCGAGUCUAUCCAUACUGUACAAUUUUUUACAUUCACAAUGAAGCGCUUGAUAUCUGGCGUUCAGUUUCACGUGUGGGUUUAAUAAGCCAAAGGACA